CUCGACCCAGACGUCCCGUGUUCAUUGCAUAUUGUCGGAACCAAAUUGGCUCCUCGACCCAGAUGUUUAGCGAUAAGUGAACGUGACAGAUCUGCUGUUGGAGGCAUCAUACUUUGUACAAUUGUUUUGUUGGAAGCAGAUUCAGAUGCAAGGAAGGUGUACAAGUGAUCGAUUUAUAGCAAUUACUAAUCUUUACCCCUAUGAAAGGGCGAAGAAGUCCCCCGUUGUCCCGAUCGGCCAUGUCGCCUUUUAAUCUUUCCUCGUUCUGUUCUAUGUGGGCUUUCGUGGGCCGUCGCGUAUGUGGGCCGUUCGUGCCUGGUGGCCUUUUUGUCCGUCCUUCGGGUGUCUUUGCGAAGCUUCAUGCCCGGGCGAUUGGGUGGGGUGCGGACCGAGCGGUUCAGUCGGGAGGUUCUCGCCGGGUGUUUGCUGGUGCUGCGCCAUCUCCGGCCUUUUCCUCUUGGCGGCGGUGGGGAUUCGUCGGGGUGGAGGCGCCGUUGAGUUCUGCUGUUAUGGCGCCGCGUCCGGUCGGUUGUUCGUGGUGGAGGUGGAUGCGCUGGUGGUCUGUUCGUCGGGGAUUUCUUCGCGGUUCCAGGUCCUGCUCUGUCGCUGGAUCAUUGGGCUCUCCGUUGGAUGGUCUGGUUUUCUUCAUGUGAUUUCUUCUUUCGGUGAGCCCGUUGCGUUGUUCUGUCGGUGGUGGCCUGUCUAUUUUUUUCUAGGGUUUUGUUUGUUAGGAGUUGCUUGAUUGCUUGCUGUUCAAUUCGGUGUCUGUGCUGUUGUUGGUCUGGAAGGUUGAUGUGCGUGUGUGCUUGGUGUUGUGGCCCUUGGUUUCUUGUUUGUUCUGCAGGUGUGGCUUAACCGGCAGAGAUGAGGCGCUCGGCGGUUGGACUCGCGCGGCCGCAGAUGAGGUGCUCGGUGGUUAGACUCACGCGCCCUGACUAUGAGGAGACGGCGGCUGGACUAGCGACGACCUGGCAACGAGGAGAUGGCGGCUGGACGCGUGGCUGUUGGAUGGCCGAUCUCCUUCCCCUUGUUUGCCCUGGUAUUUGAACCGAGAUUUGUUCCAGGUAAUGGACUGGGAAGAACUUGCUGCAAGCCAAGAAACAAGAUUAUUUUCCCUUUCUCCCUCCUCCUUGCUAACUGUGACUAGAGUGUGGAUUCCAGAGUGUAUAGAGGUCGAAUGUAGACUAUACAUUGUGACAUUGAAGAUGCAGAAAUGAGAGUCUUUUUUCUGAUAAUUUCGAAUAGACAUUUUAAUUGCUUUAUUCUCCAUUCCUAAUAUGCACCAUCUGUGAGGAUGACAUAAGUAAAAUUGUGCACCCACCUUCUGGUCUUACAUUUGGGCAGAAUAUGCUGCAGUUGGAAGAAAUUCAUGUCUGAGUGCUACGAGUUUAAUCAUAAAAACAACGAUUGCUUUUAAUAAGUCUUAUGCAAGAUUGUUGUUUUAUUGAUUUUCACAUCAGAUUUGUGUUAAAGGGGCCGGCAAAAUGUCUCAAGCAAGCAGAAAAUAAAUGUGGAAGUGAAGCAAUAUUACCGUUUCUUUUCUUAUACAUCUGUGGUUUGGAGUGGGAAUGGAGAGGUCAUGGUUGUUAUCCUGGCCAUGAAAUCAGUUUCUAAUUUCUCUUAAGUUUUAGUACAGAUUGGGCAGCUUUCACACAAUUAUUAAUCUUCAUGCAGAUGCGUCAUUUCUGAAAGGUCCUACUCCUAUGUUAUGUUGGUAAUCAGGUUUGUCCCUUUCUUUCUUUGAUGCAACUAAAAAGUUAUUCUAUUCUUACCUCUCUGUUUGUGUAAUUAAGCAGUCCAUAAGAAUUUUAGUUAGACAAGAUAUCCCUACAAACUCCCUUUGGCGCACAGUGUAUACUUGAUUUAUACUUGAGCUGAAACCAUAGAUUUAUGCUAUAUAUCUUUACUAGCAAAAUUUGUUGUUACAUAAAUAAAUAGAAAACAGCAUGUUGUGGAUUUUUAAUGUUUAUGUUGGGAACACUUUUAUUAGUUUUAUUUUCUUUUCACUGUCAUCUCUCAUUUUGGAUGUGGCCUUAUCAGAUGUAAUCUAGAAUGGACUCAAAGGGCGAUAAUGCAUUUUGACAAUAGGGUUUCACUAUGACCAUUAUUUGCUACUCACAGUUCGGCUUUCAUCUGUCGAUUCAUUAUAUCUUUAGUUGUCAUUUGUUUUCUAUAUGCUAAAUUUUGUCAUCAGUUCAUACUUAACUCAUUACGCAAUGUACAGACCCAAAUUGAAGUUUGGUAUUGUCCAUCUUUUGUGCCGAUGACGCUGAAGAUGAAGCCAUUGCCUGCAAAGAAGGCUUGCGUUUAGCCACGCCGCAUGUGAAUCAACCCUUCAAGUUUGAAAUUGAUUAUUGCUAUCCAAGAUCUCCAAUUAGACAAACCUGGUUCAUUGUUAUUGCUGAAUCCAAGAAGCUCAUGUCGCAAUGUCGCAAUGCUAUCUUUCGGAUAUCUUGAAGAUCGAUCGAAAGGGAAUGUUGCAGCCCAUGUUUUAUAGCCCAGUUCGGUAGGAAAACACAGAGUAUGUAAUAGUGGUUCCAUGCUUCAUUCUGCUCCUCCCGCGGUGCUUCAUGUAAGUCCUCUGCAACGAAAUGGGUAUGCUAUUAAAGGAAAACAAAGUUGCUUGACGAUU